UACGAAGGGGGCUAGCGUUGCUCGGAAUCACUGGGCGUAAAGCGCACGUAGGCGGCUUUCUAAGUCAGGGUGAAAUCCUGGAGCUCAACUCCAGAACUGCCUUUGAUACUGGAGAGCUUGAGUCCGGGAGAGGUGAGUGGAACUGCGAGUGUAGAGGUGAAAUUCGUAGAUAUUCGCAAGAACACCAGUGGCGAAGGCGGCUCACUGGCCCGGUACGUGACGCUGAGGUGCGAAAGCGUGGGGAGCAA
rnacentral:rRNA from 1 species